rnacentral:rRNA from 1 species
AUUGAACGCUGGCGGCAUGCCUUACACAUGCAAGUCGAACGGCAGCACGGGUGCUUGCACCUGGUGGCGAGUGGCGAACGGGUGAGUAAUACAUCGGAACAUGUCCUGUAGUGGGGGAUAGCCCGGCGAAAGCCGGAUUAAUACCGCAUACGAUCUACGGAUGAAAGCGGGGGACCUUCGGGCCUCGCGCUAUAGGGUUGGCCGAUGGCUGAUUAGCUAGUUGGUGGGGUAAAGGCCUACCAAGGCGACGAUCAGUAGCUGGUCUGAGAGGACGACCAGCCAAACUGGGACUGAGACACGGCCCAGACUCCUACGGGAGGCAGCAGUGGGGAAUUUUGGACAAUGGGCGAAAGCCUGAUCCAGCAAUGCCGCGUGUGUGAAGAAGGCCUUCGGGUUGCAAAGCACUUUUGUCCGGAAAGAAAUCCUUGGCCCUAAUACGGUCGGGGGAUGACGGUACCGGAAGAAUAAGCACCGGCUAACUACGUG